rnacentral:misc_RNA from 1 species
GAUGAAGAACGUAGCGAAAUGCGAUAAGUAAUGUGAAUUGCAGAAUUCAGUGAAUCAUCGAAUCUUUGGACGCACAUUGCGCCCCUUGGUAUUCCGAGGGGCAUGCCUGUUCGAGCGUCAUUUCAACCCUCAAGCACAGCUUGGUCUUGGGCUUCGCCGCUAACCCGGCGGGUCUUAAAAUCAGUGGCGGUGCCGUCGGGCCCUGAGCGCAGUAAUCUCUCUCGCUAUAGGGUCCCGGCGGAUGCUGGCCAGUAACCCCCAAUUUUCUAUGGUUGACCUCGGAUCAGGUAGGGAUACCCGCUGAACUUAAGCAUAUCAAUAAGCGGAGGA